AUAUGGACAGUGUUUAUAGACGUUAUAUCUGGGACACAUUCAUUAUGUGGAGAAAAGGACAAACUUUUGCAAUAUCUCCAAAUGAACGGUAUCUCAUUUGUGUCUUGCAUAAGUAGCAGGACUUUCACAGAACCUUUUAUUAAAAAUAUGGUUAAUGAUCUUUGUUAUGAACUGUCUGAUGUGAAAACAUGGAGGUGCGUUGCGCUCUAGAACUAGAAUCUUUGGUUUGCGUUCAGUUCUUGCAACUCGUUCCCAUGAGAAUGAAAACCGUUACCAUAACAUUUCUGUUUUCGUGUAAAUUUUAAACAUUCUCGAUUUAUGAACAAUCUUGUUAGUGCAUAAAGUUAUGUAAGGGAUAAUUUACAACUGACCACACGUCUUGAUGCAAAGCCAGAUUGUAUUCAAAUGGCUAAACCUAGUCCAGGAACCGGCAAGAGAGGUGUUAAAGUUAUCAAAAACCAAAUAGACUUGGGGUCCCAGGGAACUACAGCUAAUUCUACUGGAAGUAAGAAAUUGGGUGACAUGAAGCCCCGCUCUGGCAGACAACGGGACCAUCGCGGUCUUGGGAAAGCAGGGGCGAAACGGUUGGGUCAGAUGUUGAGGAAAGCAAUUCAACAGAAAGAAGGAAUCCAAGGAAACAAACCUUUACCAAAAACCCCAGUUGGUUUGUUAAAACACCAGGCCGAUGCAAUUGCAAAAGCCACAUCCAGUGAGAAGCCAAAGUUGGUCCCACAAGUUUCUGAUCUCAUAUUGCAAGUCAUAGCUCAGUGCAAAAGCCAGGGUGGCAUAUCCAUGGUUGAGCUCAAGAAGGCUCUGGCCGCUGGUGGUUAUGAUGUGAGCAAAAACAAUUCACAUGUGAAUAAGGCAGUGAGGGGACUUGUGAGGACAGAAACUCUUUUGCAAACCUCUGGAAAAGGAACCGAGUCAUUUAGGUUUAACUUAAAGAAAAUAACAGGUGAGAAGACGAUCCGGACAAGGGCUGCAAGAAAGAGAGAGGCAGGUAGAGUGGUGAAGGAAAGCCCAGUGGUUCAUCCUAGCGCAGCGACAGAGAGAUCUACAGACGUACCCUCUAAAGCAGCCAGCAAAGAUGACAAACCAACCAGAAAGUCUGCUGAGCCAGUGAGAAAUGCUAAACCAAAGGCCAAAGCAUCACCUGCAAAACGAGCGAAAUACAGUCCAAAGAAAAAGGGCGGUGAAGGCAAAACAAAAGCAACCAGAAGAAAUAGAAGAUAACAAGACUAGAUUCAUGCCAGAUCAUUUAACCAAAAAGUAUAAUGUUUGCAGAAUAACUAAAAUAGUAAAACAUGGCAAGCUUUUGAGGCUACAAACAAUAAAAUGUUUGAUAACA